rnacentral:lncRNA from 1 species
CCUGUUCCUCCAAGGCCAUUACUCAGAUACAGACCUGGACUUCCGUCUGCCCAGGCAGGGGACAUGGGGACAGUGCCCUGGCUUCCUUCUUCAUUAGAUACUCCCUGGCCUCCCUCCAAUUGGCACGGAUCACUCGGUGCCCUUUUGUCCUCCGGCCUGCGGUCCAUCUCCUCGCCUUUCCCUUUUAUCUUCCGGUGCGUGCAUGCUGAAGAAGGAAUGACACCAACCCAGCAAACCCAGACAGAGACCCACGGACCUAGGUGCCUGCAGACACACACACAGCAAGACACAAAUACAACUCAGCCAGAAACCGGAGCACCGCAGCCUCGGGGAGAUGUGUGCUGUGCCUGUCUCUUGGGUCACACACACCACAGGAGACGUGGGACACCUCCACCCCAUGGCAGCCUUCCAGCAGUGUCCCUGAUGUCCUCCUCCAUCUCGCCUAUUCAGAGCCCUGUUAAUGCAGGAGGUGGAGGGGGUGACCAAAGACCUGCCAGCCCCUUCUACACUGAAUAGGGGACCCUUUGCUCCCAGCCCCAAAAUAAAUACAUCAGCAUGCACACUAUUAAUAGGAACAGAGCCAGGGCUGGCUGUGUGCCCUAACAGUGCGGCAAAGCUGGUGUGACCCCUCUAUCCCCCACCUCCAGGCCCUGACCAUCUCCUGCGUAGGAGCACUGGAUCCUUCUCACCCAGGUGGCCUCAGCACCAGGCAACCCUGGCCUGGCCACCAAUGUUGCCUCACGCCUAUAUUUCCUGGCCAACUCUGUAGCCUCCGCACAAGCAGGACCGGAGGAGGACAGCCCCACCAGAGCCCUGGAGGCCCGGGCAGCAGAAGGCCCAGAGCCAGGGAUCCUGAUCUUCCCCUGCCUCCGGCACCCACAUGGUCACAGCCCCCGCCUCAG